rnacentral:lncRNA from 1 species
AGAUGCAGAGAUGAAGACAUUGGCCUUGAGGUAUGGCCUGACACCAUGCCAAAGACAAGAAUUCAGGGCUUUUUAAUUCCCAGUUCUGUGAAACAUCAGCUUUUAUUUUCUCUUCAUUUCAGCUUCAUAGUAUCUUCUGUAAAUCAGGCUCAGUGGGCAUACUACAAAUGCUGACUGCCAAACACUGGCACUUAACACCCUGUAAAUGAGCUGUCAGGA